rnacentral:miRNA from 1 species
UGCCAUCGGGUGAGAAAGACGAC